CCCCUAGAUGUUCUGGGCCGCACGCGCGCUACACUGAACAGUUCAACAAGUCUUAACCUUGGCCGAUAGGUCUGGGUAAUCUUUGAACGCUGUUCGUGAUUGGGAUAGACCUUUGCAAUUAUGGGUCUUCAACGAGGAAUUCCUAGUAAUCGUAGGUCAUCAGCCUGCGAUGAUUACGUCCCUGCCCUUUGUACACACCGCCCGUCGCUCCUACCGAUUUCGAGUGGUUCGGUGAACCUUUCGGACCGGCAAUGCCUCGUGUUGCGCCGGAAAGUCAAGUAAACCAUAUCACUUAGAGGAAGGAGAAGUCGUAACA
rnacentral:rRNA from 1 species